CCCUUAGAUGUUCUGGGCAGCACGCGCGCUACAAUGGUCUUCGCAAACGGAUGCAUUCUCGAAGGAGAAUGCCAAUCUUGGAAUCUAUGCCUUGGUCGGGACAGUUGCUUGCAAUUUUUCGACUCGAACCAGGAAUUCCUUGUAAUCGUGAUUCAUCACAUCACGAUGAAUACGUCCCUGCCCUUUGUACACACCGCCCGUCGCACCUACCGAUUGAAUGGUCCGGUGAAAUCUCCGGACUGGCGUGAGUCGGAGCAAUCUGACAAACACCGGAAAGUUGAUUAAACCUUACCAUUUAGAGGAAGGUGAAGUCGUAACA
rnacentral:rRNA from 1 species